rnacentral:rRNA from 1 species
GGAACCGGGAGAGGUAAGAGGUACUACAGGGGUAGGGAGUGAAAUCUUGUAAUCCCUGUGGGACCACCUGUGGCGAAGGCGUCUUACCAGAACGGGUUCGACGGUGAGGGACGAAAGCUGGGGGCACGAACCGGAUUAGAUACCCGGGUAGUCCCAGCCGUAAACGAUGCUCGCUAGGUGUCAGGCAUGGCGCGACCGUGUCUGGUGCCGCAGGGAAGCCGUGAAGCGAGCCACCUGGGAAGUACGGCCGCAAGGCUGAAACUUAAAGGAAUUGGCGGGGGAGCACAACAACGGGUGGAGCCCUGCGGUUUAAUUGGACUCAACGCCGGACAACUCACCGGGGGCGACAGCAAUAUGUAGGCCAAGCUGAAGACUUUGCCUGAAUCGCUGAGUAGAGGUGCAUGG